rnacentral:lncRNA from 1 species
AUCGCCCUAUAUAUAAGGCGCACUUCCCCCAUGCUUUUCUUCCUCGCCUCACCACUCCUGCCUCACCAGGCCCUACGCACGUGACACCUUCAGGUGUUUCCCUCCUCCCAAUGACAUGGCAUUCCGUUACGACGAUCACUAAAACAUGGCUUUACCUGACAAACGGCGAGCUUUGUUUUGUGCUCAGCAGGCUUCGCGAGCAGCAAACGCAGAAGUUGCAAAGCGGCGACGUUGCAAUUUGACCAGCAGUAAACUCCUCAUAUCAACAACGAUAUUGACCCUCUUGCCUCUCAGCAUCUGUUUUACUUUAUAAAUCGAUGGGCUUUAGCGUUCAGGUUCCUGGGCUUUUCCAGCCCUUUACAGCGUAGUCACUGCAUAGGUUCAUCGGUAAACGUUCACUGUGCCACACAGCUAUG